rnacentral:rRNA from 1 species
AUGCAGGUGGAGUACAGGGCAUUGAUGGAGAACCGGACGUGGAGCCUUGUACCGCGCCCACCGGGCGCCAACAUCGUCACCGGCAAGUGGUUGUUCCGCCACAAACUCAAGGCUGAUGGCACGCUGGAUCGCUACAAAGCGAGAUGGGUCGUGCGCGGCUUCUCACAGCGGCCGGGAGUCGACUUCGACGAGACGUUCUCGCCCGUCGUCAAGGCGGCCACCAUCCGCGUCGUGCUCACCAUCGCCGCCGCUCGUCAGUGGCCCGUUCAUCAGAUGGAUGUGAACAACGCCUUCCUGCAUGGACGCCUCGCCGAGCGCGUCUACUGCCAGCAGCCUGCUGGCUUCGUCAACACCAACCAUCCUGAUCAUGUGUGCCUGCUGGACAAGUCCCUCUAUGGCCUGAAACAGGCUCCGCGUGCUUGGUUCGCGCGGUUC